rnacentral:rRNA from 1 species
CCGUCAAUUCCUUUAAGUUUCAGCCUUGCGGCCGUACUUCCCAGGUGGCUCGCUUCACGGCUUCCCUACGGCACCGACAACGGUCGCACCGUGGCCGACACCUAGCGAGUAUCGUUUACGGCUAGGACUACCCGGGUAUCUAAUCCGGUUCGUGCCCCUAGCUUUCGUCCCUUGCCGUCAGGUCCGUUCUGGUGAGACGCCUUCGCCACUGGUGGUCCUUCAAGGAUUACAAGAUUUCACCCCUACCCCUGAAGUACCUCUCACCUCUCCCGGCCUCGAGCCGAACAGUAUCUCCUGAAAGCCCAACAGUUGAGCUGCUGGAUUUCUCAAGAGACUUAUCCGGCCGGCUACAGACCCUUUAGACCCAAUAAUAACGGUUACCACUCGAGCCGCCGGUGUUACCGCGGCGGCUGGCACCGGUCUUGCCCGGCCCUUGCUAUGCAAUGCUUUUUAGGCAUCACGACAGCCAGAUUUGUAACCUGGCACUCGAGGUCCCCUUAUCGCCGUUGCCGGCAUUGUAAAGUUUUCGCGCCUGCUGCCACCCGUAGGAGGAAGGGC